rnacentral:rRNA from 1 species
CAAAAACAUAGCCUUAGCAAAAUAUUUAAGGUGGUACCUGCCCAGUGGUCUUUAUAUUUAAUUUUAAAAAUUUAACAUAAGACUUAACGGCCGCUGUAUUCUUGACGGUGGUAAUGUAGGAAAAUAAAUAGUUAUUUAAUUGAUGAACGUAGGUGAAUGGUUUUACGAGGUUUCCACUGUCUUAAAUAUAAACUAAAAAAAACUAAAUUAAUAGUGAAGAUGCUAUUUGAAACUGUAAGACGAGAAGACCCUAUAAAGCUUAACUAUUUUUUUAUUACUAUCACCGACUUUUACAAAAGUUGGUGAAAUAAAAGUAAAUUAGGUAGUUUGGUUGGGGCAACAGCAUUUUAAAUGUAAAAAAUGUAAUUUUUUAAAAACUUUCAUUUUUGUUUAAUAAAUAUAUUUAACAAUCACAAAGUGGUAUUAAUGACCUGUCAACUUCAAAAAAAAGAAUUGACAAUAAAUAAAUAAAAGCUACUUUAGGGAUAACAGGUUAAUUUUAUCUUAGAGAUGCUAUCGAAGAUAAAGUUUGACACCUCGAUGUUGAAUUAAGUUAUCCCAGUAAUGCAGCAGUUACUAAAGGUUGGUCUGUUCGACCAUUAAAAACUUACAUGAUUUGAGU